rnacentral:lncRNA from 1 species
CGGGCCAUGGACGAGCCGAGCCUCCUGCGGCGCCGCGGGCUCCAGAAGGAGCUGAGCCUGCCACGCCGGGGCCGCGGGUGAGUUCCCCUCCAGCUGUGGGGUUGGGGAGGCUGCAGUCCUGGCUGCGAGUUGCGACUUACUCAGUACUCAGACUCCUUCUCACCUGAUCCUCCCUGGCAUUGUGCUUCACAACGCUCACUGGGCUGCCACCAACAGCCUGGGAAACCCCGGUCGGUAUGCAAAUGUAUGCAAAUGAGGAACCAGAGAUGUAGAGGCCUUGCUCCCAGGGUUUAAGGGCACCAGCAUGGAAUGAGCCACAUUCCUUGCAGCCCAAAUACCCUGAUUCUGCCUUGGAUGCCUCCUGCAAUGGGGAGCUCACUUCUUUUCAGGGACCACGGGGAGAAAAUAGUCUUGCUUGGGCUCACAUGGACAUUCCGGUAGGCCGGCAUUUUUGCAGCUCCCUAAGCGCAAAGAGCAUUUCGUGCACCCUCCUCCCCGUUUCCUGGUGGGGGACACCACAGCCCAGACGGGGAGCAGUUCGUGUCCUGCCUUGCGCCGGCUGGUGGUCUGGAAGUAUGUGCAUGUGGACACCCCGUGUUUGGAGGGUGUGUCUGGCUGAGUUGGGGGCAGAAAUGACACAGCAAACACUGAGCAUGGCUGUGUGCCAGGCCCUGUUUGAGGCCCAGAGACAAGGCAAGGCCAGGGGAGGGGACAGGAAAGUGAGGUUCGCAGAGGAGAAAUUAAACAGAAGGGGUUGGGGGGACUGGGGACUUCAGCCCGGCGGCGGCGGCAUGUGGGGUCUCCUAGGAGGCAGACUUGGGCAUGUGGAUCUGGAGAGGAGAGGCACUGUGGGGUGCCUGGGGAGAUGGGAUGGCAGGCGCAAAGGCCCUGUGGUAGGUGCCAAUAUGGCAUCCAAGACCAGUGUGGAGCUGGGGGCUGGGGGCAGUGGCAAAGCAAGUGGAAGGCAGAAGGCCGGAGCUCGAGGAGGGGUCAAAGUGGCCCCCACGACGGACCAUCUGCUCCUGCUGGACUGGGGCUGGCCAGCUGGUGGAGCGGGGCUCGGACAUCGACCUGGCCUUUGCCCAGGCUGGGGGCAGGGUGGUGGCCAGCGAGUCAACCUUGCAGGGCAAAGUCCGGGGCCAAGGGGCAGGACCCGCCAAGACUCCCUGUGGAUCGCCCCUCCUGCCCGCCUGUCCCUUCCUCCCUGGCUGCCUGGCUGCCUGGCUGGUAGCCCCUGGGCUUCAAGGUCCCAGAGAGGGACGCAGACACCUCUAGAUCUGUGACGGAGAACAGGGGGCUGGGGACCCAGGGACAGCCUCGCGGAGGAGGGGCCGUGGGGGGCACUGGGACGUGGUCACGGGGACGCGUUCCUGCGGGGGCCCAGCGCAGUGAGGCCUUCGGGCCAGGGGUGUCCGGAUGCGCGACAGGGCUGGGGCUCAGUGAGCGGGGACCCCGAGUGCGCGAGGUCCCCAGGCCCCCGAGACCGCAGAGGCGGGGGGCGGGGGGGCGACGAUGGAGCAAUCGAGCCGGGCCAGGAGGCAGGGCCGCCCUUCCCUUCCGGCCCGCGGC